rnacentral:rRNA from 1 species
CAGCAGCCGCGGUAAUGCGAAGGGUGCAAGCGUUAAUCGGAAUUACUGGGCGUAAAGCGCACGUAGGCGGAUCGAUCAGUCAGGGGUGAAAUCCCAGAGCUCAACUCUGGAACUGCCUUUGAUACUGUCGAUCUGGAGUAUGGAAGAGGUGAGUGGAAUUCCGAGUGUAGAGGUGAAAUUCGUAGAUAUUCGGAGGAACACCAGUGGCGAAGGCGGCUCACUGGUCCAUUACUGACGCUGAGGUGCGAAAGCGUGGGGAGCAAACAGGAUUAGAUACCCCCGUAGUCCCUGUCUCUUAUAC